GGCGUAGGCGGAUAGUUUAGUCAGAGGUGAAAGCCCAGGGCUCAACCUUGGAAUUGCCUUUGAUACUGGCUAUCUUGAGUACGGAAGAGGUAUGUGGAACUCCGAGUGUAGAGGUGAAAUUCGUAGAUAUUCGGAAGAACACCAGUGGCGAAGGCGACAUACUGGUCCGUUACUGACGCUGAGGCUCGAAAGCGUGGGGAGCAAACA
rnacentral:rRNA from 1 species